rnacentral:rRNA from 1 species
GGGGGGGGCGGGCCUACACAUGCAAGUCGAGCGGAACGAUCCUAGCUUGCUAGGAGGCGUCGAGCGGCGGACGGGUGAGUAACGCAUAGGAAUCUGCCCGGUAGUGGGGGAUAACCUGGGGAAACCCAGGCUAAUACCGCAUACGUCCUACGGGAGAAAGCAGGGGAUCUUCGGACCUUGCGCUAUCGGAUGAGCCUAUGUCGGAUUAGCUGGUUGGUGAGGUAAUGGCUCACCAAGGCGACGAUCCGUAGCUGGUCUGAGAGGAUGAUCAGCCACAUCGGGACUGAGACACGGCCCGAACUCCUACGGGAGGCAGCAGUGGGGAAUAUUGGACAAUGGGCGCAAGCCUGAUCCAGCCAUGCCGCGUGUGUGAAGAAGGCCCUCGGGUUGUAAAGCACUUUCAGUGGGGAAGAAAUCCUCGGGGCUAAUACCCUCGAGGGAGGACAUCACCCACAGAAGAAGCACCGGCUAACUCCGUGCCAGCAGCCGCGGUAAUACGGAGGGUGCGAGCGUUAAUCGGAAUUACUGGGCGUAAAGCGCGCGUAGGCGGCCUGAUAAGCCGGUUGUGAAAGCCCCGGGCUCAACCUGGGAACGGCAUCCGGAACUGUCAGGCUAGAGUGCAGGAGAGGAAGGUAGAAUUCCCGGUGUAGCGGUGAAAUGCGUAGAGAUCGGGAGGAAUACCAGUGGCGAAGGCGGCCUUCUGGACUGACACUGACGCUGAGGUGCGAAAGCGUGGGUAGCAAACAGGAUUAGAUACCCUGGUAGUCCACGCCGUAAACGAUGUCGACUAGCCGUUGGGGUCCUUGAGACCUUUGUGGCGCAGUUAACGCGAUAAGUCGACCGCCUGGGGAGUACGGCCGCAAGGUUAAAACUCAAAUGAAUUGACGGGGGCCCGCACAA